GCGCGAGACCAACGCCGCCGGCUCAACGCACUCCAGACGCCGCGCGCGGGGUCGCAUGUGGGCCGUGACACAGUAUGGAUGACGAUUAACCGACCGCAGCGCAACUAACGGCAAGCCCGAGCGACAUUAUGGAUCAACAACACCGAGUAAUGUCUUCGCAGCUUGUUCAUAAGCACAGACAGGUGGAAGUUGCUCCAACAGGCGGUGUCUUCGCGUGGAAGGAAAUUAAUUAAAGAGCUCUGGAUUCCUCAACAACAGCCAUAAAACAGUUUAGAAGAACGAGUGGGGGUGCAGUGAUGUCACAUUCCACUCUGCUAACGAGGCACUGUGCGACCAGUGGAUCCAAGUUAUCAAUGAGCAGCUAUCAUUACUCACCGACCGACCGAAGAGCCUUCUGGUGCACAUCAACCCCUUCGCGUGAAGGCAGCGCGGGAGGCGCAUUUACGAGCAGAAGGUGGCUCCACUGUUUGGCCGCGCCUGCGUCUCAGCUGACGUGAUCGGUGUAUUCCCUGUCAGUGACUUUCCUCAACAUUUAAAUAAAAAAUGAGUCUCGGUGGCCGCCGUAUAGAUCUCCACUGCCAAUGUGGCCUCUCCAAGGGGCCGAAGAGCCUUGCAACGAUAUGAUUUGGCCCGAUGGCACCAUUAAUCUCGGCCACUACCUUAAUGGAAGCUGUUAUAGUUGAUAAGCUUGGGUAUCCAAAACACAUAUAUUAUUCAAUAAGUGUUUGCAACCGCUACACACAGCCUGCGGUAUUGAUGGUCCAUCUGUGUGAAUGCUAUUCACUCUGGGCAUCCUCCAGCUUUAGUCAAUGGCAGGAUUCUUGUGAUGCUAGUGGCUUUUGCUUAUUAUGCAGACCAAUAUACAAUAGCUGAAUUAGUUGUCCUUGUCUUUUUCUUCAAAUCGCUAAUCAGCCCACAAAGAGUCAAUUGUUUAACUGACGUUGCACCAGCACUUGCCGUUUGAUUGGUUCCUAUAGUUACAGAGCGGGUCAAUCAUGCCCAGGACCACUUGAACACGGAGGCCAAUCUUGAUGAAUAUGACGGGGUCGUGUGUGUGGGGGGAGAUGGGAUGUUCAGUGAGGUCCUGCACGGCUUGGUCACAAGGAUCCAAACAGACUACGGCAGAACCAACCCGAUGCCAACUGCUGCCGUGUUCUCUACGCAUUGGGGUCAUCCCUGCUGCUGAGCUGUGGACUUUAUAUCCCAUGAGAACAUAUCCAGGGUUUGCAAACAACCGCAUGUACUGAAACAUUUUGGUGAUACUAAUCUCCGAAUGUCGUACGAAAGAAAUUUUACUUUGGUGUAUAUAUAGUUAAUAACAUAACAUAUUUCUGGGGCAAGGAGAUUGAAAUCACACCAUGGUUUACAACUAAACCAAGACUCAAAACUAGAAGAAGAGGCGUAUUCUGAGCGUCUGUACGCUCUCGUUUUACUUCCGCUUAGUUCAUGUCCGAUACAGUCUGUUAAUCUACAAAUGUCAGCUGUCUAUUACGGAAUCUUACAGACACAAACCACACUGAUGGCAUGAAGAAGAGUUAAAGCCCCGUUAUUAUUGGACAUGGCUACAAUCCGAAGCCCAAGUUGUAUUGGGUGCUCGCUUCAUUUUCUUUGUCAAACUUCAUGACCAAGCUGCUAGUGUAAGAAAACGGUUUCAAUGGACCCCUGUAUAAAAAUAUCACUAAACAAAACGGUUUUUGAUUUCAAUAUUAAAGAGCUUCAGCCUUGCUGAUUCAGGGUUGUUGAGUAUCUAUAGCAACAGGGCAGGGGUGUCCCAGCUGGGGCCUUUGGAGGGCCAAUCAUUCCAAGUGCCAUGAAUAAAAACGUGCUGAGAGACAUUUUGAGACCACUGUAAUUUUCAUGAGGAAAUAAAUACAGUGAAUGGAGACCAUUUGGAUGUGUUCUUUUACCUAUUCACAAUUACAGAUGAAAGAAAAUAUUAGGUGAGUAACGUCUAAUAUUUUCAAAAUGCUAGAUUCUUCUUUUGACUACACUACAGCUCAAUAACGUGAAGCUGUUAGUAAAAACGAAGGGCUUCAUGGACCAAAGCUCUUCAGUAGAUGUACUGUAGUGGUUCAGAAGCGGUUUUGAAAUCGGUUUGCUAUGCAAGG